CCGCACCUCCAGGCGGGAGCGAUGCGGCGCCGCUUCUGGGGCGUGUUCAACUGCCUGUGCGCCGGCGCGUUCGGGGCCUUGGCUGCCGCCUCCGCCAAGCUGGCCUUCGGCAGCGAGGUCGAGCCGGGGGCGCCGCUGCGGCGGGCCGGCGGGUGGGGCCGGGGCAGGAGGGGCGCUGCGGGGCAGCGGGGCUUCGGGAUGGAGCGGGGCUGGGAGCACAGGGGGGCCGCCUCACCCGCGCUGGCCUGUUUGGCCCACUCCGCAGCCGGGCACUACUGACAGCGUGGGCAGGAAGGCAUCCCUCGACUCCAUAUCACGCCCAACCCACGUCCAUUGUAGGUGGUAAGAGACUUCGGGGACUGAGGCUUGUACCCUUAUCUGGGACCUAAAAUCUGUCCUCCGAUUGGGCUAGUUCACUCUCGGGGAAGACGCACACCUUCCACAUCCACUCUCUACCUCUCAUUUUAAGCCCUUUGUGCCCGAACAUUUCUCUCCACGUGACUGUAAAGGUGAGACAUCUGUUGCCCAUCUCUUUAACUCCGUAGUUAAUGGCUGUUUUGACUGGUCUCCCCUGCUGGCGGAAACUUGGGAAUUUGGGAUAUCCUAGGUAUAAGGGAGACUGAGAGAAACAUUCUGGACAUAACCCCGAUGUUGAGAACUCCUUAACUGCCUCCCCAUGUCUGCUAAAGGCGUACCUUUGCCUCUCCCAUCGCGAGUCAUAGGCCACCUUCUGCUUGUUAAAGAGAUUUCAUUGCAUCUGCAACCCAGGGUUAGGCCCUGACCUGGACAGUAGACAGGUUGAUUCUUUAGGUUUAAGCUAAUCCAGUGGGAGCUGCCAUGCUCGAGGUUGGUAUCCUGUUGGGUGUAAUUCUUGGAGUAAGUGGUCCAAAGUAAGAUGAGUGACUAUGAGCCAUGAGGUUUUUCUAGUCUUCUCAGUUGUGCAUCAGACCGUCAUAAGCCUUUACAUAAGCAGGCUGGCACUGGCACAUAAAAUGCUUCUGUGUAAAUUAUACAGAGACACUCCAUCCUUAAGACUCUGUAUAUUCACCUGCUGAUGAGAAGUAAGAGGAUGAGGUGUAGAUGGGCACCAUCCCCAGGAGAAGCAGCUCUGUCUGCAGGCAGGUUUAUAACUCAAAACCAAACAAGGGGUCUGCAUAUCCUUUGUGUAGGAGGCUUCUAAAGAUCCUCUCUUCUUUCAGUGCUCUCCUUUAAAAAAAAAAGAAAAAUAUCUGCAAGUUCUCCAAGUGAUGCCUGGGGUCACCAGUCAAAUAGUCCCCCGUGUGGUUUCCCUAGGCAUGGCUGUGUCCUAGUUUAGAUCAUGGAGCCACACUUCCUGGGCCUGAAUCCUGGCGGCUCCCCACAGCUGUGGCGUUUUAGGCAGGUUACUUAAUGCCUCAGGUUCUUUAUCUGUAAAAUGAAGUUAAGGAAUAAAUGAAAAUGUACUUAAAACACUUAGCACAGGGCCUGGUACUGAGUAAAAGCUCAAGAAUGCCCAGUGGGACCGGCCUGAGUGGGUUUUAGCCUUCACAGAAUGGGGGUGGGGGUGGGGAGACGACUAAUUCAUGCUUUACCUGAUCCCGGGAAGUGACGACUCCGCCCCUGAUUUACUCAUCCCUCAGACUGAGCAAUAACCACUUGGCCUGCUGAGACUGAACUUCAUGCACUCGUCACUGUGAGGCCAAUAAGGGACUGGUGUUCAAUAGAAGAUAACUGGUGAACGUGGGCUUCUGCGUCUUAGGCAUUAUUGUGAUGGCUACCACCAAUUCUCUGAUGUGGACGUUCUUUAGCCGGGGCCUCAGUUUCUCCAUGUCUUCAGCCAUUGCAUCUGUCACAGUGACUUUUUCAAAUAUCCUCAGCUCGGUGAGUAGCCUGAGCGUACAGUUUCUCUGUCCCAAACCUGGGCUCUG